rnacentral:rRNA from 1 species
UGGGGAAUAUUGCACAAUGGGCGCAAGCCUGAUGCAGCCAUGCCGCGUGUGUGAAGAAGGCCUUCGGGUUGUAAAGCACUUUCAGCGGGGAGGAAGGCGUUAAGGUUAAUAACCUUGGCGAUUGACGUUACCCGCAGAAGAAGCACCGGCUAACUCCGUGCCAGCAGCCGCGGUAAUACGGAGGGUGCAAGCGUUAAUCGGAAUUACUGGGCGUAAAGCGCACGCAGGCGGUCUGUCAAGUCGGAUGUGAAAUCCCCGGGCUCAACCUGGGAACUGCAUUCGAAACUGGCAGGCUAGAGUCUUGUAGAGGGGGGUAGAAUUCCAGGUGUAGCGGUGAAAUGCGUAGAGAUCUGGAGGAAUACCGGUGGCGAAGGCGGCCACCUGGACAAAGACUGACGCUCAGGUGCGAAAGCGUGGGGAGCAAACAGG